GAAGGGCGGCACGUCGGUCACUAACUCCAGCAUGAUUCUGGUAAUUCAUUGUCGAUUUUACUUUAUUCCUUAUUAGCAGUAGUAUUCACACUAGCUUUGUUAAUUCGUUAGUCGUUAUUCGGUAGUUUUUUACGUGCAUUUUGUUAUUGUAAAAUUAAUAGAAUAUCGAUAAUUUUUUCGUUACUUGGUAACAUCAAGCUAUCAGCUGUUUGUUUUGGGUCGUAGCCCACAAAGUUCAUUUGAUUCAUUGCGAAAACAUACAUUUGCUGCUUGCCUUAAAGUUACACAUUUUUCAAAAAUAAGUAUUUAAUUAAAUUGAAUCUACUGUUUUGGAACAAAAUUUGCCACACUACUGAGAUAGAGCAAAAGGUAUGGCAGCACUUGUUAUUUGUUAAUUUAUACUUUAGCAACAAAUCGAAGAAAGCAGAGGGUAUGUCUGAAUAAAUGCUUUGCUUUAUGUACUUCUCUCAAAUUGAUAUGACGAAUAGUGCUGGACCAAGCAUUAAAAGAUGAGAGUUACCAAAGUGUCAAGUGUCUGAUCUUUGAUUUGGAUCUAAUGGAGAAGUAGAUAUACUUAUGGUCAGAGAAUGACUGUGUGCUUAGCGCGCUCCAAUUCUCUACCAUUGCAUCUCUAAUAGUAUAAAGCGUUAUGUCUAGGACGUUUCUAAAGGACGGUCCUAUAUGGGUAGGUUUCUCACCUCGAUUAGCUACCACUAGAUUACUUUGUAAAAUCAAAUUGAGUAGGGACUCACCUCUCCCUUCUAAAUUGGAAAAUUUAUGAAAUUUAAAGCUGUGAGCCAACGGCAGCACUAUUCUAAGAAAACCUCACAACUUAUUUGAGAGAAAAAAUGUCUGAUAGUUCUUGUGAAGUUAUGCUUGCUUGAACCUCAUAAGAAAGAGCUUAAAAACGUCAUCACGUAAGGUGAAAAGCGUACUGCUGUCCAACAGCUGUUUUAUAAAAAUAGACGAAGGAAAAUAAAAAAUGGACAGCCAAGAAAAAGCUUACAAAAUGUGGUUUUAUUUCACUAUUUUCAUCAUGUGUAUGUGUUAUGCGAUAUCGGUUGUGUUUAAAUGUACAACUCAAUGCAUGCGGUUAACAAUUCAUACUUUUGUUUGUUAAUAUGCAAGUUCUUGAAAUAGUUACAUUUAUUUUGUAUUGUUAAAUGUUGAAUGCAUGUGUAUUGCAUGCAUACUAUGCUUCUUUGUGUGUGUUUUGUAUUGUCUCGUAUUUGAUGUGUUCUAGUAAUUGUUAGGAUUAUAUAAUAUUUUCGUGUAAAGAAUUCCCCAGAUCCUUGAGAAUGCGAUUAUUACAUAAUAAAUAUGUAUACCUAUAUACUAAAA